AACGAACGCUGGCGGCAUGCCUAACACAUGCAAGUCGAACGAGACCUUCGGGUCUAUUGGCGCACGGGUGCGUAACGCGUGGGAACCUGCCCUUAGGUUCGGAAUAACUCUCCGAAAGGGGUGCUAAUACCGGAUAAUGUCUUCGGACCAAAGAUUUAUCGCCUUUGGAUGGGCCCGCGUUGGAUUAGCUCGUUGGUAGGGUAAAAGCCUACCAAGGCGACGAUCCAUAGCUGGUCUGAGAGGAUGAUCAGCCACACUGGGACUGAGACACGGCCCAGACUCCUACGGGAGGCAGCAGUGGGGAAUAUUGGACAAUGGGCGAAAGCCUGAUCCAGCAAUGCCGCGUGAGUGAUGAAGGCCUUAGGGUUGUAAAGCUCUUUUACCCGGGAUGAUAAUGACAGUACCGGGAGAAUAAGCUCCGGCUAACUCCGUG
rnacentral:rRNA from 1 species